GUGGGCGGAGGCUGUCGGGCCGGGCCGGGCUCGGGCCGGCGAGGCGCGGUGCAGCAACGAGCAAACUGUGUACGAUCCCGGGAGCAUAGGCACGGUCUUGUGUAGCAUUGUCAUUCUGCCCCACCGCUCUGAUAUCUAACAAAGUAAUACAUUCUGGAUGUUGUCUACAAAUUCUUUCCUUCCUUAUGUAAGAGGUCGAUGCGCGUGUCGCCUAGUUUGUCACAGAGCAUCACUGAAGUACUGUUUUAUUUGUAUUUGUGAAGACAGCAGAAUCAAAGACAGCAGGUCAGUGACUCCCACCAAGAUGGUCAUUAAGAUAAAACAGUGAAGUUUCUGGCAUAUAUUAAAAAGCCUGGAGGAAUUAGCAUAGCUUGCAGGAAAGCGUGCUGGAAAGAGAUGAUAUUUGAGAGCAAGCGUUAAAAUGUCGUCUUUUCACCAAGAAUGAUGAGAACUGAUGCGUCUGUCCUGCGUUUGGAUAGAAGAUGCCCUGGAUUUAAAGAUGGUGUGUAUUAAAUGAAGUAUGAGAAGAAACAGCUUCUUCGGACACUUGCGCUCCUCUUCUUCAGCUCGUGGAGAAGGCUGACAGCCUGUCUCACUCUCGUCAGUGCUAUCCCACCAGCUCCUUUAGGAGCCCAGCACCGCAUUUGGCCUGUUGCGAUCUUCCCGCUCCCCUAAUUUCUGUGCUGCAACGCCACCAUCCACGAGAAGUCAGGUAGGAUCUGAAGA